GAACCAUUCGCCUGUCAGACAACCCUUCUCUACGCACUGCUAUUAAAGACAUGCUGCCUCCCACCCGAGAGCUUUUGGGGGGCACUUCAAGUUCUUGCUUCAGGCCUUCUUUUCAUAUUGGAACACAACUUCUCCUAUUGCUAGAUUUAGACACUGCAUCCAGGAAGGAAACUGUCUUCUCUCCUUCAUCUUCAUAUUCUAAGGCUUCAGCUCUCACAGAAAAGGGGAAUACUCAACUCUUGGGGUUUCUUUGAGUGCACUUCAAGAUGAACUUAAUGAGAUCACGCAACCAUUUUCCCAUGGUUCUUGGUGUCAACACCCCGCGUGAAGUCUCCUCUGAUGACUGCUCCUGGUAAAAGAAUUUGCUGCGUAUUAAGAACCUCAAACUAUGCCUAGAACUGAGAGAGUCAUGUUGUUAAUGAUCAGAUCAGAAGCUGAUGGAGAAGAAACUGAUGGAGAAGAAGCUGAUGGAGAAGAAGCUGAUGAAGAAGAAGCUGAUGGAGAAGAAGCUGAUGAAGAAGAAGCUGAUGGAGAAGAAGCUGAUGGAGAUGAAGUUGAUGGAGAAGCCGGACCAGCUGCUCUUCCUCAGCUGACACUGACAAAGUAAAGAAAAAACCAAUUGCGAUGACAGAUUGACUCUACAUAACUAAGAACCAGUGCCAGAAUCGGCUGUGAUGUGUUCUUCCCGUGUCACUUGCACAAGUCAUUUGAUUUGGGUCACUCAAGUUUCUCACCGUGGUGUGUCACAAGUGUCACAUGGUAUCACAGCACCUAUGAUAGUCUUUGCCUCUUAUGCUUUGCUGUAUUAAUAUGACACGCUUGCAUGGUUUAAACUAUAGCCAAUAAUUAUUGUCAAAACCAA